GGCUGGAUGGCGCGAGUGGGCCGCAGCAGGAACCUCGAGCGGUGUCUGGAGCCGCAGGGACGAGCAGACUCCGGAGUAGCAAACAGAAUUGAUGAAGAAGAAAAAUUCAGUGUCAGGAGUUGGUGAAUCUCUUGAUGAAAUUUACGGGAACACUGCAUUCACAUGGAUCUGUCCGAGGAUUUCCAUGAUAUCCAUCCCGGGUCGUUCACCAGAUGAUCAGCGCCUGGGGUCCCCCGUAUCUCUCCAGACAUGGUCCAUCUCCUGGCCGAGCCGCAUCCUUCUACGUGUAAAUCGGGCUUCAACAUACACCAGGUUUCACCUGCGAGGGUUGGGGGGAGUCCUAAUACAAAUGUGUCCAACAGAUAUUCAAUAUCACAUAUAUCAUACUAGAAAUGGCAUGAAUUUCUACUACUACACAUAACAGUAAGGACGUAAAUUUUGUAGCAAAAGAAUAUUAUUUUUCAAGGCUCCUGUCAAACAAUAGAUGCUGGAUUCAGAAAAAAACACACCCUUUACACAUUACAGUGUGAUGUCUUGUCUUGAAAAAAACCUUGUCCUGCAGUCAGUCUGCUAUUGGCUUUAAGCCCACAAUUGUGUGCCAUGUUCCUCUUUGCUCUUUUUUACAUCCCAGCAAACUUUCUCGUAGUGCAUGAGGAAGAUUUCACCCAUUACUCAUGGUAUACCAUUCAUUUUAUCUACUUGCUUUAGUGCUUUCUGUCCUGACACUGCUGGAAACAAUUUUAUUCAAUGAAAGAUGAAAUUCAGGA